UAGUACGGCGAGUGAAGAGGGAAGAGCCCAAGAUUGAAAGCUGGCGUCUUCGGCGUCCGCAUUGUAAUCUCAAGAAGUAUUUUCCGCUUCGGACCAAGCCUAAGUCCCCUGGAAAGGGGCAUCAUAGAGGGUGAUAAUCCCGUACAUGGCUUGGAGCGCCCGAGGCUUUGUGAUACGCUUUCUAAGAGUCGAGUUGUUUGGGAAUGCAGCUCAAAAUGGGUGGUAAAUGCCAUCUAAGGCUAAAUAUUGGGGAGAGACCGAUAGCGAACAAGUACAGUGAUGGAAAGAUGAAAAGAACUUUGAAAAGAGAGUUAAACAGUACGUGAAAUUGCCAAAAGGGAAGGGUAGGAGGUCAGAGAUGCGGCCUGGGAUUCAGCCUUGCUUUUGCUUGGUGUUUUUCCCAGAUUGCAGGCCAACGUCGGUUUUGGGCACUGGAGAAGGGUAGGAGGAACGUGGCACCCCUCGGGGUGUGUUAUAGCCUCCUACUGGAUACAGCGACCGAGACCGAGGACAGCAGCGUACUCGCAAGAGCGGGCCUUCGGGCACCUUUACGCUUAGGGCGUUGGCAUAAUGGCCCUCUACCACCCGUCUUGA
rnacentral:rRNA from 1 species